rnacentral:ncRNA from 1 species
UUUCCCUUAAGAUAGCUAGAGCUCAUCUACGAAGUUUCAUUGGGUAAAGCGAAUGAUUAGAGGCCUCGGAGGUGAAAUGCCCUUAAUCUAUUCUCAAACUUUAAAUAGGUGAGACAUUGGGGUUGCUCCAUUGAACCCCAGCUAUGGAAUCUGAGCUCCG